GCUGAAGUGCCUCAGAAAACGGUAUGAUUAUUUCCAGUUUCCUAAAGAUUUCCAUGAAGCGCUCAAACUGCUUUUCUUUUUCCCUUCUCGAGUAUGUCUUUGGAUACGGCAAAGGUUUAACAUACUCCCUUUCUUUCAAUUUUUCAACCUCUCCUUCUUGACUAACACCCUCAUUUCUUUUCAUCAUAUUUUUUUCUCUCUCCCCC
rnacentral:lncRNA from 1 species